CGACACUUUGUUCGAGAUGUGGCUGCUGUCAAGUUGCCACGUCGACAGCAGAAGAAUUCAAUACAUAUGGCAAAUUGUGAUAAUUUAGUGAACACAAUUUAUUAAUAAUUGGAAAUCGUAACCGUUGCGUGCGAUCAUACCUUGAACGCAAUUGUGUGUUUGUUUGAAUGUGCAUACAAGUUUUUUAACGCUGCACCAGUUAGUGAAUAAAUAAUUUUGACCCAGGAAAUCCAAUUUGACCGAGGCGAAAUGAUGGUCCACUCCCUUGUCACAUUUCUUCACUAUUCGAUGGACAAUAACGUCAAACUAAGUCGGACCUUUCCAGGGUUGCCUCACCGUUUGUGAGAAAAACUAUUGUUUUGUUCCAAGCAUAUUUUAAUUUCUUACGUACAUACAUAUGUAGAACCAACGGCAAUAUGUCAAUUGGUUGUGUAACAAAAAAUGUUUGGACAGUUAAUUUAACCACUAUGGCAUUUAUGAAACAUUAAUAUGCAUCUUGACUUUAUAAAUGUAAUUCAGUAUGUAA